AGGUUAAGCGUGGGGACUCUAGCGGGACUGCCACCGUAAGUGAGAGGAAGGUGGGAUGACGUCAAGUCCUCAUGGCCCUUAUAGGUGGGGCUACACACGUCAUACAAUGGCCGGUACAGAGGGUAGCCAACCCGCGAGGGGGAGCCAAUCCCGCAAAGCCGGUCGUAGUCCGGAUCGCAGUCUGCAACUCGACUGCGUGAAGUCGGAAUCGCUAGUAAUCGCGGAUCAGCAUGUCGCGGUGAAUACGUUCCCGGGUCUU
rnacentral:rRNA from 1 species